GACGAACGCUGGCGGCGUGCUUAACACAUGCAAGUCGAACGGAAAGGCCCUGCUUUUGUGGUGUGCUCGAGUGGCGAACGGGUGAGUAACACGUGAGUAACCUGCCCUUGACUUUGGGAUAACUUCAGGAAACUGGGGCUAAUACCGGAUAGGAGCUCCUGCUGCAUGGUGUGGGUUGGAAAGUUUCGGCGGUUGGGGAUGGAGGCGCGGCUUCGCAGCUUGUUGGUGGGGUAGUGGCUUACCAAGGCGUGGACGGGUAGCCGGACUGGGAGGGUGACCGGCCACAGUGGGACUGGGGUACGACCCAUAGUCAUUCGGGAGGCAGCAGUGGAGAAUAGUGCAAGAUAGGCGGAAGCCGUAUGGAGCGACGCCGCGUGCGGGAGGACGGCCGUCAGGGUGGAAACCGCGUGCGCCUGUAACGAAGAGAGAGUGACGGUAAUGUGUAAGAAAGCACCGGCUAACUACGUG
rnacentral:rRNA from 1 species